rnacentral:rRNA from 1 species
AAUGAACGCUGGCGGCGUGCUUAACACAUGCAAGUCGUGCGCGAAAGCGGCUUCGGCCGCUGGAGAGCGGCGAACGGGUGAGUAACACGUGGAUAACCUGCCUGGAAGCGGGGGAUAACCUGGGGAAACUUGGGCUAAUACCGCAUACGUUCGUGGGGUCAUGGCCCUGCGAACAAAGAUGGCCUCUGCUUGCAAGCUAUCGCUUCCAGGAGGGGUCCGCGCCUGAUAGCUAGUUGGUAGGGUAACGGCCUACCAAGGCGAUGAUCAGUAGCCGGCCUGAGAGGGUGAUCGGCCACACUGGAACUGAGACACGGUCCAGACUCCUACGGGAGGCAGCAGUGGGGAAU